rnacentral:rRNA from 1 species
UGGGGAAUAUUGGACAAUGGGCGAAAGCCUGAUCCAGCCAUGCCGCGUGUGUGAAGAAGGUCUUCGGAUUGUAAAGCACUUUAAGUUGGGAGGAAGGGCAUUAACCUAAUACGUUAGUGUUUUGACGUUACCGACAGAAUAAGCACCGGCUAACUCUGUGCCAGCAGCCGCGGUAAUACAGAGGGUGCAAGCGUUAAUCGGAAUUACUGGGCGUAAAGCGCGCGUAGGUGGUUUGUUAAGUUGGAUGUGAAAUCCCCGGGCGCAACCUGGGAACUGCAUUCAAAACUGACUGACUAGAGUAUGGUAGAGGGUGGUGGAAUUUCCUGUGGAGCGGUGAAAUGCGUAGAUAUAGGAAGGAACACCAGUGGCGAAGGCGACCACCUGGACUAAUACUGACACUGAGGUGCGAAAGCGUGGGGAGCAAACA